AAGCUGUUCUGACAUUUGAGCAGCUCCUUUGUAAACAAAUUGAAGUAACAUUUUGUUCUCUGCUUUCUAGGUCCUUCACAAAGGAAAUGGGAAAAAAGGAGAAAAACGGUAUAUGAGUGGAAAUGCAACCAAAGUGAGAAAGGAGAAUUGGAAUGGCAUAGGACUUCAAAGGGAAGAAAGAACCAUCAUUACUGAGGCAUCUUUUUCCCCCUAGCAGUGCUGGAGAUGGAAGAGAAUCCUACACAUUUUCAGGAGAAUAGUAACUUUCAGCAGUGCAUUUACAUGGGAAGCAUUUCAGUGUCAAAUUUUAAUAUACUGAAAUCAGCACUUUUCUGCAAUUGUGGAAUAUAAUGAAAUUGUCUCUUGGGAAGAAGGCGAGGAAGAGGAGAGUGCUCAUAUAAAACUUCAGAGAGGGCUGGGUGUUUAGCUCAGCGGCACAGCGCCUGCCUGGCAAGCACAAGGUUGUGAGUUCGAUUCCCAAUACUGGAACCCACCCCCCCCAAAAAAAAUAAAAA
rnacentral:lncRNA from 1 species